rnacentral:rRNA from 1 species
AGAGUUUGAUCCUGGCUCAGAGCGAACGCUGGCGGCAGGCCUAACACAUGCAAGUCGGGCGCCGUAGCAAUACGGAGCGGCAGACGGGAGAGUAACACGUGGGAACGUACCCUUCAGUUCGGAACAACCCAGGGAAACUUGGGCUAAUACCGGAUACGUCCGUAAGGAGAAAGAUUUAUCGCUGAAGGAUCGGCCCGCGUCUGAUUAGCUAGUUGGUGGGGUAACGGCUCACCAAGGCGACGAUCAGUAGCUGGUCUGAGAGGAUGAUCAGCCUCACUGGGACUGAGACACGGCCCAGACUCCUACGGGAGGCAGCAGUGGGGAAUAUUGGACAAUGGGCGCAAGCCUGAUCCAGCCAUGCCGCGUGGAUGAUGAAGGCCCUAGGGUUGUAAAGUCCUUUCGGCGGGGAAGAUAAUGACGGUACCCGCAGAAGAAGUCUCGGCUAACUACGUGCCAGCAGCCGCGGUAAUACGUAGGAGACGAGCGUUGUCCGGAGUUACUGGGCGUAAAGGGGGCGCAGGCGGCACGUCGCGUGGGGGGUGAAAUCUCCUGGCUCAACUGGGAGGGGGCCUUCCAAACGGGCGUGCUUGAGGCGUGGAGAGGGACGUGGAAUUCCGGGUGGAGCGGUGAAAUGCGUAGAGAUCCGGAGGAACACCGACGGCGAAGGCAGCGUCCUGGCCACGACCUGACGCUCAGGCCCGAAAGCUGGGGGAGCAAACAGGAUUAGAUACCCUGGUAGUCCUAGCCGUAAACGAUGACCACUAGAUGUGCGGGGUAUCGACCCCCUGCGUGUCGGAGCAAACGUUUUAAGUGGUCCGCCUGGGGAGUACGGUCGCAAGGCUAAAACUCAAAGGAAUUGACGG